rfam:Cavia porcellus supercont2_31 genomic scaffold, whole genome shotgun sequence.
GGGGAUUUAGCUCAGUGGCAUAAGCGCCUGCCUUGUAAGCAGGCAGUUGUAAGUUUGAUCCCUCCCCCCCA